CCAGUAACAUUGAAAAUUUUGAUGUCAAAAGGCUUGUUCAUGACGUUCUGCACCUCAUGGGAGUUUUUGAUGUGGGAGAUUAUAUACCUUGGGUUGGGGCAUUUGAUCUUCAGGUACUUCCAAUACAACCACUACUAGCAUGUUUGAAUCUACUUAUUUCGCUUCAUAAUCAUUUCUUAUAUGCAACAAUUAAACUUUUUUCCUAGAAUCAAUUUUGCCUUUAAAAGGACUAUAGAUCGAUUUUCGUACAUGUACUAUUGCAUCUUGUUCAAGGUUGUCAUCGAUUCUAAGUUUCUAGGUCCCAAAAAGAAUCAACUAGCAAGUAAACUCUAAAAUUUCAAGAAUCGAGCAAACUCUUGUUAACUUGGUAAACUCGCAUAGGCUUGCGAUUCUACACCAAGUUAGUCACGGAAAAAACAAAAACAAAUUUUUCCCUAAAUCCUGAAAUUAAAUGGAGUAAUUUUGGAUUUUCACAAAAAGCUUUCAAUUAAGACCGAGAGAAAAAUAGGAUUUUCUCAUUUUAAUCCAACAUUCUCAUUCACCUUCAAACUCUUGGAGAAGAUGAGACAUCAGCGCUGCAAGUCGUCGUCGCCGCUUUAAAUUUUUAGCUAUCUCCAAGACUUUAUUUUGAAUUAUGCAUUCUUGGUACUUUGAAUCUUUGAUCGUUUAUGUAUUUUAUUGAACUUUACUUUAUUAUAAAGUUGGUUGUUGAAUUUAUUUGAUUAUUGUCUCCUUAGUGGUUGUAUUAUGUAUUCUUUUUACACCAUGACAGGUUUUAUCAAGGUUUUUAUUUUGGUAGACUCUUACGAGUCUACGAGUUAACUUGAGGAAACGAGUUUACCUCCCAAAACGAGUUUGCGUAGACUCUCGAGUCUGACAACAUUGAUCUUGUUACUUUUGAUUCUUAAAAGUCUUAUGUGACAAACCUAGGACACAUCAUCAGUUAGUCCGUAGUGGCAUUCUACAAGGCUUUAUGAGACUGUAUGACACACCAUGCUACAUGCUGAUGUGAUAAUAUUGACAAUAAUAAAAAUCUCAAAUCUUUACACAGUGAUAAUUCGAACAUGAGACCUCAAUAUUUAUAGGACUUUGAACAUAUUUAAUCCUUAUUCUUAUCCUAAAAGAUUUUACAUUGUCCACUAAAUCUGACUUAAUAUUUAAUCCAUAUCUCAGGGACUAGUAAGAAAGUUCAAGAAAGCGCACGAGGAAUUUGAUCAAAUGUUAGAGCAAAUCAUCAAAGAUCAUGAGGCUCCUUCUCGUCUUAGCGACCAGAAAAACGGGCAAUCUAUUGACUUCACUGACACAUUGCUAUCACAUAUGAAGCAAUCAAAGGACAAACAUAUUAUUAACAAAACAAAUCUCAAGGCUAUUUUGUUGGAUAUUAUUAUCGGAUCACUUGACACAACUAUCAUGACGACUGAUUGGGCUAUGUCAGAACUACUGAGGCACCCGAAGGCUAUGACGAAACUUCAAGAUGAGUUAAAGAAUGUAGUGGGUAUGGGGAGGGUGGUAGAAGAAGAUGACAUACCAAAGUUGCCAUACCUCAAUAUGGUGGUGAAAGAGACCUUUAGGAUACACCCACCUGCACCCCUCCUCGUACCUCGCGAGUGUUUGGAAGAUAUAACAAUCAAUGGUUAUUUCAUUGCGAAAAAGUCACGGGUUUUAG
rnacentral:lncRNA from 1 species